rnacentral:lncRNA from 1 species
GGGGAGAUGGCUCAGCAUGAACAGCACUGGCUGUGCCAGCUUAAGGAACCAGGUCUGGAUUUCCAUAACUAAUGGCAAAGCUGGAUGUAGGCAGCAUGAGGCCCUAAAAUCUCAGCACAGCUAGACUAAGGGAGCAGGCAGAGACGGGAGAAUUCCCUGAAGUUCCGGCUCUGGCCUACACAGAGGGGAACAACAGAUCUCAUCUCAAACAAGUUUCAGAAGACCCACGGGGCUUGGCCCACUGCCUGGGAAGAGGCAUAGCCAGCCUGGGAAUUGAUUUGAAUGUAAUGAACCUUCUGUCUCAUCUGGUACUUUCAGAAGAAUUUGCAGAGUCAAUAGAUGUGGAGCUACCUCUCCAGCCUUCUGUCUGCCUGCAGGUGUCUAUGCGUCCCACCAUGAUGACACUGUACUAAACCUCUGAAACGGUCAGACUCAGGACCGUGUGCCCAGGAGAUAGCAGAGCCCAGAGCAGGAUGAACACUUCUACACCAAUUAAGAUAAUCAAGACAAUCUCUCACAGACAUGUCCACCGACUAACAAUGAUAAAGGGCCACUGACUCAAUUAAGAUUUUUUCCCAGUUAAUUCUGAACUAUAUCAAGUUGACAACGUUAACUAGGAACAGCGAUGAUGAGAGAAAUGACUAUGGGGGGGGGGGACAGACACUGCAUGUUUGCUAUGCAUGGUGGGAGUCAAAGGGCAAGGAACAGGAAAUGGCUUCUCCAAGGCAGUAAAAUUUAAAAUGAGGCUUAAGGUUACCCGGUGAAGACCGUUUCUGACUAUGAGAACAUAGGCAACAUGGGUGGAAAAGAGUGGGUGUGGAAGGCAGUAGGUUUUGUGGGACAUGGCUAGGAGUUAAGACUUGCUGCCUUUUAGUAUGAAGAUAUGUCACAUCAUACAAAUUAUGGGCUUCUGAUAAUUUUUUUCAUUUGAUAGCUUCACCCAUUUAUAUAAUUAGUUUGAGUCAUCUUGGGCCCCAUUUCCUUCCCUCAUUCCUUUCCUUUUCUUUCUGGAGACCUUGUCACCAAGGUUCCCUCUGGCUUCCAUGCCUUUAUUCUAUGUGUAGUUCACUGAGAGUUGCUUUUCUAAGUGUGGGUUGCAGUGGGGUGCGGGUAUUUACUGGCUCAAUAGCAAGUUGUCUGUGGGUACAUCACUGAGGAAAAUGGCACCUCUCCAAGACAGCCAUCAAUUGACAAUAGUGAAUUUUGUUUUUGAAACAAGUUUUCUGGUUGCUUCAUAGAGGAUGCAUUGUUGCCAUGAUCCACAUAAAGCCUUGAAAAUAUUUGAUGAUGUUAGUGGCUUAGAGCACAGAGAUCAUGGAAGUAUCAAUCUUAGUACAUGCGAAUGUGACAACUUGGUCUAGGUGGUCUGUUCUUUGUAUGCAAUGAUAUCCCACUGUUGGGACCUAUUAAGACAACACUAUUGUCCUGAUCUCUGAAUUGGGCCACUCCCCCCAAGAAGAAAAGGGGGUCAAAAGCGGGCCACCGACGCACCGUUCCGUGCACAACCACAGAAUGUUCCAGCCCUAAGUCCGCGCCAGAUGUCCUGACCACACCCUGAUACCACCAAGUUCCUGCUUCCUCGAGUAACUGCCAAAAGAAAAAUUUCCACUGCCCCACCCCUCCUGCUGAGAAGUACUUCCCCUUUUGCUUGAGCAUUUAAGCCUUGAGCCUUUCUGAAUAAAACGGGACCUUGAUGC